rnacentral:tmRNA from 1 species
GGGGCUGAUUUGGAUUCGACAUAUAAAUUUGCGUGUUUCAUUAUGAAGCAAGUCAAGUUUAAUGAUCUUGUAAAAAACAUUAAAGUACAAAUAAAUGCAAGCAAUAUAGUUUCAUUUAGUUCAAAACGUUUAGUCUCUUUUGCAUAAGCAAAAUGUGUUAAUAACUUUCUUAGUAGAAAUUGGAGAAGUUUACUAAGAUUUAUAUUUACUCCAUAAUUAUUUUAAAGAUGGUAAAAAGGUGAUUCAUCAUUUGUAUGUUUCUAAACUUUGUGAAAGAAUAGUGGGCUCCAUUUAUAAUGAACGUGGGUUCAAAUCCCACCAGCUCCACCA